rnacentral:lncRNA from 1 species
ACCAACUCAUUCUCCUAAACCACCAAAGUAUACUCCUAAGCCAACACCUUGUCCACCACCAUCAUCAACACCAAAACCACCACAUGUUCCAAAACCACCUCAUUACCCUAAACCACCAAUAGUUCAUCCACCUCAUGUUCCAAAACCACCAGUUGUGAAACCACCAAUAGUUCAUCCACCUUAUGUUCCAAAACCACCGGUGCAUCCACCUUAUGUGCCAAAACCACCAGUGCAUCCACCUUAUGUCCCAAAACCACCAGCUGUGAAGCCACCUUAUGUUCCUAAACCACCAGUUGUCCCAGUAACACCACCAUAUGUUCCUAAACCACCCGUUGUGAAACCAC